GACGAACGCUGGCGGCGUGCUUAACACAUGCAAGUCGAACGGAGUGGCGAACGGGUGAGUAACACGUGGGUGAUCUGCCUUGCACUUCGGGAUAAGCUUGGGAAACUGGGUCUAAUACCGGAUAGUGCAAGAUGAGCUAGCGGCCUACAAGCUUGUUGGUGGGGUAAUGGCCUACCAAGGCGUCGACGGGUAGCCGGCCUGAGAGGGUGGACGGGGACAUUGGGACUGAGGUACGGCCCAGACUCGUACGGUAGGCAGCAGGGGGGAAUAUUGCACAAUGGAGGGAAGCCGGAUGAAGCGACGCCGGGUGGGGGAUGAAGGCCUUCGGGUUGUAAACUCCUGUCGACAGGGACGCGGUACCUGUAUAAGAAGCACCGGCUAACUACGUGCCAGCAGCCGCGGUAAUAC
rnacentral:rRNA from 1 species